rnacentral:rRNA from 1 species
AACGCGAAGAACCUUACCUGGGCUUGAACUGCACCGGACAAGGGUGGAAACACCCUCUCCCGAAAGGGCUGGUGUAGAGGUGCUGCAUGGCUGUCGUCAGCUCGUGCCGUGAGGUGUUGGGUUAAGUCCCGCAACGAGCGCAACCCUUACCCUUAGUUGCUACCCGCAAGGGAGAACUCUAAGGGGACUGCUCCGGAUAACGGAGAGGAAGGCGGGGAUGAGGUCAAGUCAGCAUGGCCUUUAUGUCCAGGGCUACACACGUGUUACAAUGCAUGGUACAGACUGUCGCGAUCCCGCGAGGGGGAGCUAACCGGAAAAAACCAUGCUCAGUUCGGAUUGCAGUCUGCAACUCGACUGCAUGAAGCCGGAAUCGCUAGUAAUGGCGUAUCAGAACGACGCCGUGAAUACGUUCCCGGGCCUUGUA